UCCAACCCUACAUACUUCUUCAUAUGCCCAUAUGGAGCCGGCCGGUGCUAUGGAACGUUAAGAAGUAUGUAUUUUUCGG
rnacentral:pre_miRNA from 1 species